rnacentral:rRNA from 1 species
AUAUUGGACAAUGGGGGCGACCCUGAUCCAGCAAUGCCGCGUGUGUGAAGAAGGUCUUCGGAUUGUAAAGCACUUUUGGCAGGGACGAUGAUGACGGUACCUGCAGAAUAAGCCCCGGCUAACUUCGUGCCAGCAGCCGCGGUAAUACGAAGGGGGCUAGCGUUGCUCGGAAUGACUGGGCGUAAAGGGCGCGUAAGCGGCAGGGACAGUCAGAUGUGAAAUUCCUGGGCUCAACCUGGGUACUGCUUUUGAUACGUGCCUGCUUGAGUGAGGAAGAGGGUUGUGGAAUUUCCAGUGUAAAGGUGAAAUUCGUAGAUAUUGGAAAGAACACCGGUGGCGAAGGCGGCAACCUGGUCCUUUACUGACGCUGAGGCGCGAAAGCGUGGGGAGCAAACAGGAUUAGAUACCCUGGUAGUCCACGCUGUUAACGAUGUGUGCUGGAUGUUGGGAAACUUAGUUUUUCAGUGUCGUAGCUAACGCGAUAAUCACACCGCCUGGGGAGUACGGCCGCAAGGUUGAAACUCAAUGAAAUUGACGGGGGGUUAA